rnacentral:lncRNA from 1 species
AUGAUGCAGCGACUGUGGACAACGACCAGUGUUGGUAGACACCGGGUGGGAGGCUUCCAUACGGGGACCCGCAACGCCUGGAAGUGUGGGGUGCUGAAGGCCGAGGAGAGAAAGAACCGUGGUCUGGGUGGGGAGAGGCGGGGCUGUCCAGGCAGGGAGCGGAAAUGGUUCGGGGAAUCUGUCGCUGGAGCUGCCGGGGAGCUGGGAUGCGGCGCGGGCCACGUGCGCUUUGGAGUACUUAGGGUGGUGGUGGCCGCAGGACGGUGGGCAGAGACCCUCCACAGGCAGGGCCUGGCGCUGGGGCGACCACCCUGCACCCGCAAGGGCGUCCCUUGCCUCUCUCCUUUAAAUCUUGAGACUAAUGACAUCUCAGGCGGAGGCGGGCCCUUCCAAACCAGGCCGUGGGUCUGCACAGGGAAGAAUGCGCCUGACUUUGCCGCGGAUCCCGAGCGCGCGGGAGCAAGAGCCAGAGAGAGGUUUCACCAGGAUUCCCAGGGACCUCCGAUGUGGGAGAGAGGUUCCCUGUCACUUGUGUCACCUCGGUUCCUGAUUUCUGCUAUGUCUCGCCUUGGCUCUCUCCUGUCUCUCUUUCGUUGCACCAUCAUCUCGCCUGGGGGAACCGGGCUCCCCACCAGGGUUUCCAACUGAUGCCAGAUCAGACCCAGGCAAAGCUGUGGAAUAGUGGAAGUUUGUCUUCAAUGCCUCCCUUGCUUUCCCCUACCACUAAACAGACUUCUCUGAUUAAAAGCACAUAUGCAAGGGAAGACAUGCUGAGGGGUGUGGAGUUUUUCUUUUUGGAGUAAUGAAAUAAUUCUAAAGUUUUUUAUGAUGAUGAAGGCACAACCUUAUGAUUAUACUAAAAGCCAUUGAUUAUACACUUUUAGAUAGAUUGUAUGGUAUGUGAAUAAAACUAAAUAAAUAAUUGUGUAAGAAUAGCCAGAAAUAGCAGCUAUGUACAGCAGGGGAAACAUAUUAUUAUUAUUACUAUGAUUGAGAUAAUGAAAAUGCUUUAAACAUGAUUGAAGUGAUGAAUGUACAACUAUGUGAUAUACCAUUGAUUGUACACUUUGGAUGAACUGUAUGC